CCUACGGGAGGCUGCAGUGAGGAAUAUUGGUCAAUGGACGAGAGUCUGAACCAGCCAAGUAGCGUGAAGGAUGACUGCCCUAUGGGUUGUAAACUUCUUUUAUAUGGGAAUAAAAUGUUCCACGUGUGGGAUUUUGUAUGUACCAUAUGAAUAAGGAUCGGCUAACUCCGUGCCAGCAGCCGCGGUAAUACGGAGGAUCCGAGCGUUAUCCGGAUUUAUUGGGUUUAAAGGGAGCGUAGGUGGAUUGUUAAGUCAGUUGUGAAAGUUUGCAGCUCAACCGUAAAAUGGCAGUUGAAACUGGCAGUCUUGAGUACAGUAGAGGUGGGCGGAAUGCGUGGUGUAGCGGUGAAAUGCUUAGAUAGCACGAAGAACUCCGAUUGCGAAGGCAGUUCACUGGACUGCAACUGACACUGAGGCUCGAAAGUGUGGGUAUCAAACAGGAUUAGAUACCCUAGUAGUC
rnacentral:rRNA from 1 species